rnacentral:rRNA from 1 species
UACGUAGGCAGCAAGCGUUGUUCGGAGUUACUGGGCGUAAAGGGUGCGUAGGCGGCUUUUUAAGUUUGGUGUGAAAUCUCCCGGCUCAACUGGGAGGGUGCGCCGAAUACUGAGAGGCUAGAGUGUGGGAGAGGAAAGUGGAAUUCCUGGUGUAGCGGUGAAAUGCGUAGAUAUCGGGAGGAACACCUGUGGCGAAAGCGGCUCACUGGACCACAACUGACGCUGAUGCACGAAAGCUAGGGGAGCAAACAGG